rnacentral:rRNA from 1 species
AGAACGAACGCUAGCGGCGUGCUUAACACAUGCAAGUCGUACGAGAAAUCCCGGGCAACUGGGAGAGUAAAGUGGCGCACGGGUGAGUAACGCGUGGGUAAUCUACCUUGGAGUUGGGAAUAACACCUCGAAAGGGGUGCUAAUACCAAAUGUGGUCCCUGGAGUUUCGGCCCUGGGGAUGAAAGAUGGCUGAGGCUUGCAAGCUAUUGCUCCAAGAUGAGCCCGCGUACCAUUAGCUUGUUGGUGGGGUAAUGGCCCACCAAGGCAAUGAUGGUUAGCUGGUCUGAGAGGAUGGCCAGCCACACUGGAACUGAGAUACGGUCCAGACUCCUACGGGAGGCAGCAGUGAGGAAUCUUGCGCAAUGGGGGCAACCCUGACGCAGCAACGCCGCGUGAGUGAUGAAGGCCUUCGGGUCGUAAAGCUCUGUCAGGCGGAAAGAAAGUUUUCAGGGUAAAUAAUCCUGGAGAUUGACGGUACCGCCAAAGGAAGCACCGGCUAACUCCGUGCCAGCAGCCGCGGUAAUACGGAGGGUGCUAGCGUUGUUCGGAAUUAUUGGGCGUAAAGAGCGUGUAGGCGGCCUCGUAAGUCAGAUGUGAAAUCCCUCGGCUUAACCAAGGAAGGGCAUUUGAAACUGCUUGGCUUGAGUACGGGAGGGGGAAGCGGAAUUCCCGGUGUAGAGGUGAAAUUCGUAGAUAUCGGGAGGAACACCGGUGGCGAAGGCGGCUUUCUGGCCCGAUACUGACGCUCAGGCGCGAAAGCGUGGGGAGCAAACAGGAUUAGAUACCCUGGUAGUCCACGCUGUAAACGAUGUUCACUAGGUGUGGGGGGAAUUGACCCUUCUCAGUGCCGUAGCUAACGCAUUAAGUGAACCGCCUGGGAAGUACGGUCGCAGACUAA